ACCUGUGCAGCCUGUUUUCUUCCUGUGUUCUAUUAACUAGGAUAUGAGGUAGAAAUAUGUCACAAUCAUGGGAAACAUACAAAACUUGAUGACUGAAAUGUGCUUGUCUGUGAAGUGCCACCUAUGCCUUCAAAGUGAUAAAGAUCCAGACUGAGUUGAAAAGAAUGAUAAAGACAGAGCUGAGAGGGCCACAGUUUUAGUGACAGCCUCAGCUGUGACAAAGGAGAGAAAACAGAAAGACCUGGGAAAGUGCAAGGAUGAAGCAAUUAAGUUUGAGAAAUGUGAUGUGAGGUUUAGGAAAGGUGGAUUUUAGCCCCAGCAGACUUUUAGCUGGACACGGACCUAAUACCUUGAGACUUCAUUGUUCCCAUUAAAGAAAAAAUUAUCUUCUGACUUUCUAGGGGUUUGGGGGUCCCAGAUAUCAAAAGAUUUAAACCACUUAGGAGGUUUCCAUUGGAAGGAGAAGACUGUCUUUAGCCCACUGCAUCCCCUCAAGCCAUCCCAAGCUUUCUCUGUGCCAGGGACUGGACGCACGCUAAAAUACGAACCUGUGUGGACUUCUUUCUUAGGAGCCUUUGCACCAGCACAAGAAAGAGACAGAGACAGUGAUGGCGAGACUCAAGCACGCAUAUCUUGAUGGACUCCAAAAUGCUCUUCCUAAUUCCUUCUCUGUGGCUCAUUCUUCAUCCUCUAUUUGCAUUGAGUCCAUUCAAAGGACAUCCCAACAUCAUCAGUUAACCAAGUGUGUGUUCCACCCCAGGGAAGGACAGCGUAGGGCCGAGAGGAAUCACGGCUGAAUGGUCUGAGAUCCCGACCUGCAGAAGUAACUGGCCACUUCAGGGAAGAGAUGACUAAGAGCACUUAGAAUUUAUCCAGCUCUCAAGGCGACUUCACCAAGGAACAACCACAGUGUUGUUUUUUCACAGAAACACCAAACUUGGAAAUAAACCCUUCC
rnacentral:lncRNA from 1 species